GGUUAAGCGACUAAGCGUACACGGUGGAUGCCCUGGCAGUCAGAGGCGAUGAAGGACGUGCUAAUCUGCGAAAAGCGCCGGCGAGGUGAUAUGAACCUUUGACCCGGCGAUGUCCGAAUGGGGAAACCCAGUGUGUUCCGACACACUAUCGUUAACUGAAUACAUAGGUUAACGAGGCGAACCGGGGGAACUGAAACAUCUAAGUACCCCGAGGAAAAGAAAUCAACCGAGAUUCCCCCAGUAGCGGCGAGCGAACGGGGAGCAGCCCGGAGUCUGAAUCAGCUUGUGUGUUAGUGGAACGGUCUGGAAAGUCCGACGGUACAGGGUGAUAGUCCCGUACACGAAAAUGCACAGGUUGUGAACUCGAAGAGUAGGGCGGGACACGUGGUAUCCUGUCUGAAUAUGGGGGGACCAUCCUCCAAGGCUAAAUACUCCUGACUGACCGAUAGUGAACCAGUACCGUGAGGGAAAGGCGAAAAGAACCCCGGCGAGGGGAGUGAAAAAGAACCUGAAACCGUGUACGUACAAGCAGUGGGAGCCUCUUUAUGGGGUGACUGCGUACCUUUUGUAUAAUGGGUCAGCGACUUAUAUUCUGUAGCAAGGUUAACCGUAUAGGGGAGCCGAAGGGAAACCGAGUCUUAACUGGGCGUUAAGUUGCAGGGUAUAGACCCGAAACCCGGUGAUCUAGCCAUGGGCAGGUUGAAGGUUGGGUAACACUAACUGGAGGACCGAACCGACUAAUGUUGAAAAAUUAGCGGAUGACCUGUGGCUGGGGGUGAAAGGCCAAUCAAACCGGGAGAUAGCUGGUUCUCCCCGAAAGCUAUUUAGGUAGCGCCUCGUGAACUCAUCUUCGGGGGUAGAGCACUGUUUCGGCUAGGGGGCCAUCCCGGCUUACCAACCCGAUGCAAACUACGAAUACCGAAGAAUGUUAUCACGGGAGACACACGGCGGGUGCUAACGUCCGUCGUGAAGAGGGAAACAACCCAGACCGCCAGCUAAGGUCCCAAAGUCAUGGUUAAGUGGGAAACGAUGUGGGAAGGCACAGACAGCCAGGAUGUUGGCUUAGAAGCAGCCAUCAUUUAAAGAAAGCGUAAUAGCUCACUGGUCGAGUCGGCCUGCGCGGAAGAUGUAACGGGGCUAAACCAUGCACCGAAGCUGCGGCAGCGACACUAUGUGUUGUUGGGUAGGGGAGCGUUCUGUAAGCCGUUGAAGGUGUGCUGUGAGGCAUGCUGGAGGUAUCAGAAGUGCGAAUGCUGACAUAAGUAACGAUAAAGCGGGUGAAAAGCCCGCUCGCCGGAAGACCAAGGGUUCCUGUCCAACGUUAAUCGGGGCAGGGUGAGUCGACCCCUAAGGCGAGGCCGAAAGGCGUAGUCGAUGGGAAACAGGUUAAUAUUCCUGUACUUGGUGUUACUGCGAAGGGGGGACGGAGAAGGCUAUGUCAGCCGGGCGACGGUUGUCCCGGUUUAAGCAUGUAGGCGGAGGUUCCAGGUAAAUCCGGUACCUUUUAACGCUGAGGUGUGAUGACGAGGCACUACGGUGCUGAAGUGAUAAAUGCCCUGCUUCCAGGAAAAGCCUCUAAGCAUCAGGUAACACGAAAUCGUACCCCAAACCGACACAGGUGGUCAGGUAGAGAAUACCAAGGCGCUUGAGAGAACUCGGGUGAAGGAACUAGGCAAAAUGGUGCCGUAACUUCGGGAGAAGGCACGCUGAUAUGUAGGUGAAGCCCCUGCGGGCGGAGCUGAAAUCAGUCGAAGAUACCAGCUGGCUGCAACUGUUUAUUAAAAACACAGCACUGUGCAAACACGAAAGUGGACGUAUACGGUGUGACGCCUGCCCGGUGCCGGAAGGUUAAUUGAUGGGGUUAGCGGCAACGCGAAGCUCUUGAUCGAAGCCCCGGUAAACGGCGGCCGUAACUAUAACGGUCCUAAGGUAGCGAAAUUCCUUGUCGGGUAAGUUCCGACCUGCACGAAUGGCGUAAUGAUGGCCAGGCUGUCUCCACCCGAGACUCAGUGAAAUUGAACUCGCUGUGAAGAUGCAGUGUACCCGCGGCAAGACGGAAAGACCCCGUGAACCUUUACUAUAGCUUGACACUGAACACUGGUCCUUGAUGUGUAGGAUAGGUGGGAGGCUUUGAAGCGUGGACGCCAGUCUGCGUGGAGCCAUCCUUGAAAUACCACCCUUUAAUGGCUGGUGUUCUAACGUAGACCCGUGAUCCGGGUUGCGGACAGUGUCUGGUGGGUAGUUUGACUGGGGCGGUCUCCUCCCAAAGAGUAACGGAGGAGCACGAAGGUUGGCUAAUCCUGGUCGGACAUCAGGAGGUUAGUGCAAUGGCAUAAGCCAGCUUGACUGCGAGCGUGACGGCGCGAGCAGGUGCGAAAGCAGGUCAUAGUGAUCCGGUGGUUCUGAAUGGAAGGGCCAUCGCUCAACGGAUAAAAGGUACUCCGGGGAUAACAGGCUGAUACCGCCCAAGAGUUCAUAUCGACGGCGGUGUUUGGCACCUCGAUGUCGGCUCAUCACAUCCUGGGGCUGAAGUAGGUCCCAAGGGUAUGGCUGUUCGCCAUUUAAAGUGGUACGCGAGCUGGGUUUAGAACGUCGUGAGACAGUUCGGUCCCUAUCUGCCGUGGGCGCUGGAGAAUUGAGGGGGGCUGCUCCUAGUACGAGAGGACCGGAGUGGACGCAUCACUGGUGUUCGGGUUGUCAUGCCAAUGGCACUGCCCGGUAGCUAAAUGCGGAAGAGAUAAGUGCUGAAAGCAUCUAAGCACGAAACUUGCCCCGAGAUGAGUUCUCCCUGAGACUUUAAGUCUCCUGAAGGAACGUUGAAGACGACGACGUUGAUAGGUCGGGUGUGUAAGCGCAGCGAUGCGUUGAGCUAACCGAUACUAAUGAACCGUGAGGCUUAACCUU
rnacentral:rRNA from 1 species